AGAAUCAACGCUGGCGGCGUGCCUAACACAUGCAAGUCGCACGAGAAAGGGACUUCGGUCCUGAGUACAGUGGCGCACGGGUGAGUAACACGUGAAUCAUCUACCUUCGAGUGGGGAAUAACUGAGAGAAAUCUUAGCUAAUACCGCAUAAUACCCACGGGUCAAAGCAGCAAUGCGCUUGAAGAGGAGUUCGCGGCAGAUUAGUUAGUUGGCGGGGUAAUGGCCCACCAAGACGAUGAUCUGUA
rnacentral:rRNA from 1 species